UACGUAGGGGGCAAGCGUUGUCCGGAAUUAUUGGGCGUAAAGCGCGCGCAGGCGGCUGUGUAAGUCUGGUGUUUAAGCCCGGGGCUCAACCCCGGAUCGCACCGGAAACUGGACGGCUUGAGUGCAGAAGAGGGAAGUGGAAUUCCACGUGUAGCGGUGAAAUGCGUAGAGAUGUGGAGGAACACCAGUGGCGAAGGCGACUUCCUGGCCUGUAACUGACGCUGAGGCGCGAAAGCGUGGGGAGCAAACAGG
rnacentral:rRNA from 1 species